GGGCCGGUAGAUCAGGGGAAGAUUGCUUGCUUCGCAAGCAAGAGGUCGCGGGUUCAAAAUGCAUUUUGCAUGGACAUCCCGCCCGGUCCA
rnacentral:tRNA from 1 species